rnacentral:rRNA from 1 species
GUGGGGAAUAUUGCACAAUGGGCGCAAGCCUGAUGCAGCGACGCCGCGUGGGGGAUGACGGCCUUCGGGUUGUAAACUCCUUUCGCUAGGGACGAAGCGUAUUUGUGACGGUACCUGGAGAAGAAGCACCGGCUAACUACGUGCCAGCAGCCGCGGUAAUACGUAGGGUGCGAGCGUUGUCCGGAAUUACUGGGCGUAAAGAGCUCGUAGGUGGUUUGUCGCGUCGUUUGUGUAAGCCCGCAGCUUAACUGCGGGACUGCAGGCGAUACGGGCAUAACUUGAGUGCUGUAGGGGAGACUGGAAUUCCUGGUGUAGCGGUGGAAUGCGCAGAUAUCAGGAGGAACACCGAUGGCGAAGGCAGGUCUCUGGGCAGUAACUGACGCUGAGGAGCGAAAGCAUGGGUAGCGAACAGGAUUAGAAACCCCAGUAGUCC